CGUGACCGUAUGUCAACGGACCGUCAAGGUCUGUUUCAUCGGACCGCUCUGCCGAUCUCUCGGCGUGGAGGAAACGUAAACCAAGGAAAUGUACUCUCUUGUCCAUUUUUUGGCGGAAAAUGAUGUCGCAGUUGUCCCUACCUGUUGGGUGUGCAAUGGCUGCACGGCAUGGCCACCCUACAAAUUAAAUCGGUUGAUGAUGGCAAUUAGAGAGCGUGAAGAGCCCUCGACUGACUGGGCCACAUUCUCCUGUCAGGUGAUGGCAUCAUGUUUGACAUAUGAAGAUGCAAAGUACAAAGAAAAAAAAUUCGGAAGCGACGUCCAACCUAACAUUGAAUAAUGAAGAGCGGGAGAAGAGAAAAAGGAAGAGACUGCAGUAUACUCUUUCUUCAUUUGAGGAUGAGGACUUCUAUGACCAAGAUGAACGACGUAACACUCAGCCAGCCCCUCAACUUCCAGAACGUGCACCAGAGCCCAAGCAAAAACGCACACGUGAGCUGUGCGCACCUGCUUUAAACAGAAGGCAGAAAACAAUGAGCCAGCCAUCAUCGUGCAGGAAGCCGACGCCAAAUUGGCUGCUGCUGAAUCGGUCAGGCAUGCACCAGCUAGGAUCAAGAAAAUGGAGCAGUGUGCCUCUUCUCAGGAGUGACUGAGGGGCUGCC
rnacentral:lncRNA from 1 species